rnacentral:rRNA from 1 species
UACGUAGGUGGCAAGCGUUGUCCGGAAUUAUUGGGCGUAAAGCGCGCGCAGGCGGUCCUUUAAGUCUGAUGUGAAAGCCCACGGCUCAACCGUGGAGGGUCAUUGGAAACUGGGGGACUUGAGUACAGAAGAGGAAAGUGGAAUUCCACGUGUAGCGGUGAAAUGCGUAGAGAUGUGGAGGAACACCAGUGGCGAAGGCGGCUUUCUGGUCUGUAACUGACGCUGAGGCGCGAAAGCGUGGGGAGCAAACAGG